rnacentral:rRNA from 1 species
UACGUAGGGGGCAAGCGUUGUCCGGAAUCAUUGGGCGUAAAGAGCGCGUAGGCGGCCCUGUAAGUCCGCUGUGAAAGUCAAGGGCUCAACCCUUGAAUGCCGGUGGAUACUGCAGGGCUAGAGUCCGGAAGAGGCGAGUGGAAUUCCUGGUGUAGCGGUGAAAUGCGCAGAUAUCAGGAGGAACACCGAUGGCGAAGGCGGCAUCCUGGACCGACAUUGACGCUGAGGAGCGAAAGCUAGGGGAGCAAACGGG